rnacentral:lncRNA from 1 species
UGGAUCAUAGUCGAUAUUAGGGCCUAUGAGUGUCAGGCACAACUGGUUAGUCUGCAUGUAACAGACUGCUCCUACAGUAGCCAUGAAGGCUCUCACAAGUAAUAGAGAAGAAUUCCAGUUAAGCUUAAUAUCCAGUGUUGAACAAAGUGAUCAAAUAGAGAAGGCUGCAUGAUAAUAGACUGAAGGUUUAAAGAAGCAUAGAAGAAUGGAGAGGAG